rnacentral:rRNA from 1 species
AGCAGUAGCCGCGGUAAUACGAAGGGGGCUAGCGUUGUUCGGAUUUACUGGGCGUAAAGCGCACGUAGGCGGACUUUUAAGUCAGGGGUGAAAUCCCGGGGCUCAACCCCGGAACUGCCUUUGAUACUGGAAGUCUUGAGUAUGGUAGAGGUGAGUGGAAUUCCGAGUGUAGAGGUGAAAUUCGUAGAUAUUCGGAGGAACACCAGUGGCGAAGGCGGCUCACUGGACCAUUACUGACGCUGAGGUGCGAAAGCGUGGGGAGCAAACAGGAUUAGAUACCCGAGUAGUCCCUGUCUCUUAUAC